rnacentral:rRNA from 1 species
CAAGUCGAGCGGCAGCGCGGGGCAACCUGGCGGCGAGCGGCGAACGGGUGAGUAAUACAUCGGAACAUGUCCAUUUGUGGGGGAUAGCCCGGCGAAAGCCGGAUUAAUACCGCAUGAGCCCGAGAGGGGAAAGUGGGGGACCGCAAGGCCUCACGCGAAUGGGUUGGCCGAUGUCCGAUUAGCUAGUUGGUGGGGUAAAGGCCCACCAAGGCGAUGAUCGGUAGCUGGUCUGAGAGGAUGAUCAGCCACACUGGGACUGAGACACGGCCCAGACUCCUACGGGAGGCAGCAGUGGGGAAUUUUGGACAAUGGGGGCAACCCUGAUCCAGCCAUUCCGCGUGAGUGAAGAAGGCCUUCGGGUUGUAAAGCUCUUUUGUCCGGAGCGAAAAGGUUACGGUGAAUAUCCGUGACUACUGACGGUACCGGAAGAAUAAGCACCGGCUAACUACGUGCCAGCAGCCGCGGUAAUACGUAGGGUGCGAGCGUUAAUCGGAAUUACUGGGCGUAAAGCGUGCGCAGGCGGUUUUGUAAGCCAGAUGUGAAAUCCCCGGGCUUAACCUGGGAAUGGCAUUUGGGACUGCAAGGCUGGAGUGCGGCAGAGGAGACUGGAAUUCCUGGUGUAGCAGUGAAAUGCGUAGAUAUCAGGAGGAAUACCGAUGGCGAAGGCAGGUCUCUGGGCUGACACUGACGCUCAUGCACGAAAGCGUGGGGAGCAAACAGGAUUAGAUACCCUGGUAGUCCACGCCCUAAACGAUGUCGACUGGUUGUUGGGGGGUUUGACACUCUCAGUAACGAAGCUAACGCGUGAAGUCGACCGCCUG